GACGAACGCUGGCGGCGUGCUUAACACAUGCAAGUCGAACGGAAAGGCCCUGCUUUCGUGGGGUUCUCGAUUGGCGAACGGGUGAGUAACACGUGAGUAACCUGCCCUUAACUUUGGGAUAACUUCAGGAAACUGGGGCUAAUACCGGAUAGGAGCUCCUGCUGCAUGGUGGGGGUUGGAAAGUUUCGGCGGUUGGGGAUGGACUCGCGGCUUAUCAGAUUGUUGGUGGGGUAGUGGCUUACCAAGGCUUUGACGGGUAGCCGGCAUGAGAGGGUGACCGGCCACAUUGGGACUGAGAGACGGCCCAGACUCCUACGGGAGGCAGCAGUGGGGAAUAUUGCACAAUGGGCGGAAGCCUGAUGCAGAAACGCCGCGUGCGGGAUGACGGCCUUCGGGUUGUAAACCGCUUUCGCCUGUGACGAAGCGUGAGUGACGGUAAUGGGUAAAGAAGCACCGGCUAACUACGUG
rnacentral:rRNA from 1 species